rnacentral:rRNA from 1 species
AGUGAACGCUGGCGGUAGGCCUAACACAUGCAAGUCGAACGGCAGCACAGUAAGAGCUUGCUCUUACGGGUGGCGAGUGGCGGACGGGUGAGGAAUACAUCGGAAUCUACUUUUUCGUGGGGGAUAACGUAGGGAAACUUACGCUAAUACCGCAUACGACCUACGGGUGAAAGCAGGGGAUCUUCGGACCUUGCGCGAUUGAAUGAGCCGAUGUCGGAUUAGCUAGUUGGCGGGGUAAAGGCCCACCAAGGCGACGAUCCGUAGCUGGUCUGAGAGGAGGAACAGCCAACCUGGGACCGGAGCACGGGCCAGGACCCUACGGGGGGCAGCCGUGGGGAAUAUUGGCCAAUGGGGGCAAGCCUGAUCCAGCCAUACCGGGGUGGUGAAGGAGGCCUUCGGGUUGUAAAGCCCUUUUGUUGGGAAAGAAAAGAAGCAGGUUAAUACCCCGCUGUUCUGACGGUACCCAAAGAAUAAGCACCGGCUAACUUCGUGC